rnacentral:tRNA from 1 species
GGGCCCGUAGCUCAGCAAGGUAGAGCGGCGGAUGGGUAACCCGUAGGUCGGGGGUUCAAGUCCCCCCGGGCCCA